CCUACGGGCGGCAGCAGUAGGGAAUAUUGCUCAAUGGGGGAAACCCUGAAGCAGCAACGCCGCGUGGAGGAUGAAGGUUUUCGGAUUGUAAACUCCUUUUGUUAGAGAAGAUAAUGACGGUAUCUAACGAAUAAGCACCGGCUAACUCCGUGCCAGCAGCCGCGGUAAUACGGAGGGUGCAAGCGUUACUCGGAAUUACUGGGCGUAAAGAGGGCGUAGGCGGGAUAGUAAGUCAGAUGUGAAAUCCUAUGGCUUAACCAUAGAACUGCAUUUGAAACUGUUAGUCUAGAGUAUGGGUGAGGUAGGUGGAAUUCGUGGUGUAGGGGUAAAAUCCGUAGAGAUCAAGAGGAAUACUCAUUGCGAAGGCGACCUGCUAGAACAUAACUGACGCUGAUGCGCGAAAGCGUGGGGAGCAAACAGGAUUAGAUACCCGUGUAGUC
rnacentral:rRNA from 1 species